rnacentral:rRNA from 1 species
CCUGGCUCACGACGAACGCUGGCGGCGCGCCUAACACAUGCAAGUCGAACGGAGUUGUGUUGAAAGCUUGCUGGAUAUACAACUUAGUGGCGGACGGGUGAGUAACACGUGAGUAACCUGCCUCUCAGAGUGGAAUAACGUUUGGAAACGAACGCUAAUACCGCAUAACGUGAGAAGAGGGCAUCCUACUUUUUACCAAAGAUUUAUCGCUGAGAGAUGGGCUCGCGGCCGAUUAGGUAGUUGGUGAGAUAACAGCCCACCAAGCCGACGAUCGGUAGCCGGACUGAGAGGUUGAUCGGCCACAUUGGGACUGAGACACGGCCCAGACUCCUACGGGAGGCAGCAGUGGGGGAUAUUGCUCAAUGGGGGAAACCCUGAUGCAGCGACGCCGCGUGAUGUAAUACGGUUUUCGGAUUGUAAACCUCUGUCUUUAGGGACGAAAAAAUGACGGUACCUAAGGAGGAAGCCACGGCUAACUACGUGCCAGCAGCCGCGGUAAUACGUAGGUGGCAAGCGUUGUCCGGAAUUACUGGGUGUAAAGGGAGCGUAGGCGGGGAGACAAGUUGAAUGUCUAAACUAUCGGCUUAACUGAUAGUCGCGUUCAAAACUAUCACUCCUGAGUGCAGUAGAGGUAGGCGGAAUUCCUAGUGUAGCGGUGAAAUGCGUAGAUAUUAGGAGGAACACCAGUGGCGAAGGCGGCCUACUGGGCUGUAACUGACGCUGAGGCUCGAAAGCGUGGGUAGCAAACAGGAUUAGAUACCCUGGUAGUCCACGCCGUAAACGAUGAUUACUAGGUGUGGGGGGACUGAACCCUUCCGUGCCGGAGUUAACACAAUAAGUAAUCCACCUGGGGAGUACGACCGCAAGGUUGAAACUCAAAGGAAUUGACGGGGGCCCGCACAAGCAGUGGAGUAUGUGGUUUAAUUCGAAGCAACGCGAAGAACCUUACCAGGUCUUGACAUCGAGCGACGAACCAAGAGAUUGGUUCUUCCUUCGGGACGCGAAGACAGGUGGUGCAUGGUUGUCGUCAGCUCGUGUCGUGAGAUGUUGGGUUAAGUCCCGCAACGAGCGCAACCCUUAUCAUUAGUUGCUACGCAAGAGCACUCUAAUGAGACUGCCGUUGAUAAAACGGAGGAAGGUGGGGAUGACGUCAAAUCAUCAUGCCCCUUAUGACCUGGGCUACACACGUACUACAAUGGUGAUAAACAGAGGGAAGCAACACAGCGAUGUGAAGCAAAUCCCGAAAAAUCAUCUCAGUUCAGAUUGCAGGCUGCAACUCGCCUGCAUGAAGUCGGAAUUGCUAGUAAUCGCGGAUCAGCAUGCCGCGGUGAAUACGUUCCCGGGCCUUGUACACACCGCC